UAAGCGGAGGAAAAGAAACUAACAAGGAUUCCCCUAGUAGCGGCGAGCGAAGCGGGAAAAGCUCAAAUUUGUAAUCUGGUGUCUACGACGUCCGAGUUGUAAUCUCGAGAAGUGUUUUCCGUGAUAGACCGCAUACAAGUCUCUUGGAACAGAGCGUCAUAGUGGUGAGAACCCAGUACACGAUGCGGAUGCCUAUUACUUUGUGAUACACUUUCGAAGAGUCGAGUUGUUUGGGAAUGCAGCUCAAAUUGGGUGGUAAAUUCCAUCUAAAGCUAAAUAUUGGCGAGAGACCGAUAGCGAACAAGUACCGUGAGGGAAAGAUGAAAAGCACUUUGGAAAGAGAGUUAACAGUACGUGAAAUUGUUGGAAGGGAAACACAUGCAGCCAGACUUGCUAUUCGGGGCAACUCGAUUGGCAGGCCCGCAUCAGUUUUUCGGGGCGGAAAAUCAUAGAGAGAAGGUAGCAAUUUCGGUUGUGUUAUAGCUCUUUAUUGGAUUCGCCCUGGGGGACUGAGGAACGCAGCGUGCUUUUAGCAUAAGCUUCGGCUUAUCCACGCUUAGGAUGCGGGUGUAAUGGCUGUAUAUGAC
rnacentral:rRNA from 1 species